rnacentral:rRNA from 1 species
AGUAACGCGUGGGAAUCAACCCUAGGGUGGGGAAUAACCGCUGGAAACGGCGGCUAAUACCGCAUACGCCUUGCGAGGGAAAGCUUUAUGCGCCCCGGGACGAUCCCGCGUCGGAUUAGGUUGUUGGUGGGGUAAAGGCCUACCAAGCCGACGAUCCGUAGCUGGUCUGAGAGGAUGAUCAGCCACACUGGGACUGAGACACGGCCCAGACUCCUACGGGAGGCAGCAGUGGGGAAUAUUGGACAAUGGGGGAAACCCUGAUCCAGCCAUGCCGCGUGCGUGAAGAAGGCCUUAGGGGUGUAAAGCGCUUUCGGCGGGGAAGAUGAUGACGGUACCCGCAGAAGAAGCUCCGGCUAACUCCGUGCCAGCAGCCGCUGUAAUACGGAGGGGGCAAGCGUUGUUCGGAAUUACUGGGCGUAAAGGGCGCGUAGGCGGAUCGUCACGUCAGAGGUGAAAGGCCUGGGCUCAACCUGGGAACUGCCUUUGAAACUGACGGUCUAGAGUCCGGAAGAGGAUGGCGGAAUUCCCAGUGUAGAGGUGAAAUUCGUAGAUAUUGGGAAGAACACCAGUGGCGAAGGCGGCCAUCUGGUCCGGUACUGACGCUGAGGCGCG